rnacentral:lncRNA from 1 species
AAUCCACUUCACAGCUUUCCAAUGUUCUCUUUCCGGAUUAGAAAGAAAAUGAUUUACAACACCAACAGCAUGAGCAAUGUCUGGUCUUGUGCAAACUAUUGCAUACAUCAAACUGCCAACAGCUGAAGCACAAGGAACUUUCUCCAUAUCUUCCUUCUCAUCAUCACUGGAAAGACACUGCUUCGUGCUCAACUUGAAGUGCAUAGCUAAAGGUAUACUGACAACCUUAGCCUUGUCCAUGUUAAACCUUCGAAGUACUUUCUGAAUGUACUUCUCUUGUGAUAACCACAACUUCUUGGCCUUUCCAAUCUGCAUGCCAAGAAUCUGCUUUGUUGUCCUAAGUCUUUCAUAGAAAAAGAGUUACUCAACUCUUGCUUCAACUUUUGAAUCCUGCAAGUAUUAUGACCAACAACAAGCAUGUCAUCAACAUAAAGCAACACAAUAAUAAAGUCACCAUCAGAGAAUUUUUGCACAAAAACAAUGGUCUGAAGUAGUCUUCUUGAAGCCCUGCUGACUCAUAAAGCAACCAAACUUCCUGUACCACUGCCUAGGAGCUUGUUUCAAACCAUACAAGCUCUUCUUCAAUUUGCAAACAUAAUUCUUUUUUCCUUGACUUCAAAACCUUCGAGUUUCUCCAUAUAAAUUUCUUCAUCUAAGUCACCAUGGAGAAAAGCAGUUUUAACAUCCAUUUGUUCAACCUCUAAAUCUAGACUUGCAGCUAAGCCUAGAACCACACGAAUAGAUGACAUCUUUACAACAGAAGAAAAUAUCUCAUCAAAAUUAACUCUCUUUUUCUGGUUAAAUCCCUUCACAAUCAAUAUAGCUUUGUACCGUGGAAUUGGAUUACCAUCCCCAUGCUUCACCCAAAAAACCCACUUAUUUUUCAAAGUUUUUUUGUCUUUAGGCAGCUUAACCAAAUCAAAGGUAUGAUUAUCUUGCAAAGAUUUAAUUUCAUCUUUCAUAGCAUCAAACCACUUUUCUUUUUCUUCACUUUCUAUGGCCUCAUCAAGACUCUCGGGUUCUCCCCCGUCAGUCAAGAGUACAUACUCACUGGGAGAAUAAUGAGAAGCAGGUAUUAUCUCUCACUACAUACUCACUGGGAGAAUAACGAGAUGAAGGUAUUCUCUCUCUUGUAGAUCGUCUGAGAGAACUCUCUGGAGCAUCAACAACUGGUUGUUGAUCAACCAUAUCAACUUGCACUGGAGUAUCAACAACUUCUUGCUGGUCAUUCUGAACAUUAUCAUCAUCUUCAUUAUCAACUUGAUUUUUAUCAUCAUGAAGAUUUUCUUCAGAAGCAGUAGUCAAAUGAACUGGAUCAACAUCAACUAGGCUCUCGCUACUUUGAGAAUCAACCUUCUCAGCUUUGUCAAAAUCUUCAAUUGUUUGGUCUUCAAAGAACACAACAUCGCGGCUUCUAAUAAGUUUCUUCCCAACUGGAUCAUAGAAGCGAUAGCCAAAUUCAUCUUGACCAUAACCAAUGAAGAUAGAUUGUCUAGUUUUAACAUCCAACUUUAACCUUUCAUCCUUAGGAACAUAAACAAAAGAUUUACACCCAAAGACUCUAAGAUGAUCAUAAAAAACUUUCUUACCAGACCAAAUUCUGUCAGGGACAUCACCAUUCAAAGAAACAGUAGAAGAUAAAUUAAUAACAUAAACAGCCGUAUUAAGUGCUUCGGCCCAAAAGAAAUCUGGCAGCUUAGCAUCUGAAAUCAUACAUCUAACCCUCUCAACUAGUGUUCUGUCCAUCCUCUCUGCUAAGCCAUUCAACUGAGGAGUCUUUGGAGGAGUUUUUUGAUGCCGAAAACCUUCUUCUCUGCAAUAUCUAUCAAAAGAACCAAUAUACUCACCACCAUUAUCUGAACGGAUGCAUUUCAAUUUCUUUCCUGUCUGUCUUUCAACCAAGGCCUGAAAAUUCUUGAACACAUCAAUUACUUGAUCCUUGGACUUCAAAGAAAAUACCCAGAGUUUGCAAGAAUGAUCAUCAAUAAAAGUCACAAAGUAAAGUGCAACACCAUGAGACCUUACUUUAAAAGGACCGCACAAAUCAGAAUGCACCAACUCCAGCAAAUUGAGUUUUCUUGAAGGCGGAUGACUCUGAAAAGAAACUCUUUUCUGUUUACCGGCUAAGCAAUGAACACACUUCUUAAACUUUGCUUUUUUUACUCCAGGAAGCAAAUUUUUUUUAGCCAAACUAUCAAUCCCCUUCUCACUCAUGUGACUCAACCUUCUAUGCCACAACUCUGAUAAAGUAUCAUUCUCCACCAAGUUUAUCAAGAUUCUAGAAGUAGAGCCUUGAAAUACGUACAAGUUAGACAACUUGUCACCUCAAGCCACAAUCAUCGAACCUCUAGUAAGCUUCCACUGGCCAGCACCAAGGGUAUUAACAUAACCCUCAUCAUCAAGACUUCCAACAGAAAUCAAAUUCAGGCGAACAUCUGGAGCAUGCUUGACAUUAUUGAGAACUAGUUUGAAAUCAUUGUUACUUUCCAAACAAAUUGUGCCAAUGCCAAGUACUUUAACUUCAUCAUUAUUGCCCAUUUUCAACAUCCCAAAAUUACCUGGAGUUUAAGAAGAAAAUAAUUCCUUCUUUGGCAUAACAUGAGAAGUAGCACCAGAAUCCACAAACCAACUAGACUCAUCGCGAACAAGAUAAAUGACAUUCUCACCACAAGCAAUAAGAAGAUCAUCAUUAGUAACAACAACAACACAAUUUUCAUUAUCGUCUUCUUUCUUUUGCCGUCUUAUAUCUCUCUUAUGCUUGUAAUAAUAUUUCAUGAUAUGCUCCUUUUUGUUGCAAUAGUCACAUGUAACAUUCUUGAAUUUGGACCUUGACUUGCUUUUACUUUUAUCUCUAUCAUUUGAAUCUUUGAACUUCUUUUUCCCCCUCUCUUCAGUAACCAAAACAUCAGAGUGUGAAGAUGAAGAAGAUGAGGCCUGAGAUCUUCUUCUCAUCUCUUCAUUCAAGACACUACUCUUAACAUAUUCCAUAGUUACCAUACCAUCGGGAGCAGAAUUAAUCAAAGAAACUCGAAGAGUUUUUCAAGAGUCAAGCAGAAUAUUAAGAAGCCAAAGUCCCUGAAUUUCUUCAUCGAACUUUACACCUAUUUCGGACAGCUGGUCAAAGACACCCUGAAAAUCAUUUAUAUGAUCAGAAAUAAGACUGCCCUCUUUAUACCUGAUAUUCAUCAAUUUCUUAAGCAGGAACAACUUGUUAUUGCCAGUCUUCGAAGCAUAAAGUGUCUCGAGCUUGUCCCAUAAACUUCUAGCAUGUGCUCAUUCACAAUAUGAUUUCUAACAUUAUCUUUAACCCAUUGUCUGAUAUAGCCACAACCUGUAAGUGCUCAAAUUCUCAAUUCUCAUCUGUCAUGGAUGCAGGUUUAGUAGAUGCAAACAUAGGUAGAUGUAUUUUCUUGACAAAUAGAAGAUUUUUCAUCUUGCCUUUCCAAGUAUGAUAGUUACUACCAUUCAAACACACCAUCUUGCUCAUAUUUUCAUCCAUCAUUCAAAUCGACAAUCAACAACAACCUGAUACCACUUGUUAGGAAAGACGGGCACAAAGUCAAAGAGCUCGACAGGGUAGCAGCGGAAAAUACCCAAAACUAAACUUUUUUCUUUCAACUCGAACCAAGAGGAGACACAUAAACCCAAGAAAAAUAGAGUAAUAUACAACAAACAACUCAACCAAAUAAAACAAGAUAAGAAUAAAGACAAUCACAUGAGACACAAGAUUUACGUGGAAAAUCCUUCAGUGUGCAGAGUAAAAAACCACAGAACCAAAACCUCCACUAAAUCACCAAAGAGUUACAAUAUUAUCAUCCAAAAUGUCCACCCAAAAAGUUCCAAACAACAAGAAACAAUACAUAAUCCACAGCACCAAACACUAGAGAAAUAAAUAAGUGAAAGCACAAAAAAUGUAGCUACUGUUUGGGAAUAAAGAACAGGAGAUACAGGCCACCAAAUCAAGCUCCAUCAAUUCCUAAUCAAAGAUUAUGAUGAGAGGAACAAGCAGUCCAAAAAUCAUCUCAAUCAGACAAGAAACGAAGUGAGAAUUCCAAUUUGAAGUUGACAGCUGUGGCUGAAAUUUAGGUGCGAAAAUCAACUUUGUUUUUCUCUCCUUGGCUGCUGAAAACUCUCUUUUUGUGAUGGUGAAUAAUACCUAAAAAGAUCAAUAUAUAUGCCCCAUAGUAAUGGACCUAUGGGUAAAAAUGAGUUGGUCCAAAUUGAGCUUCAUUUAUCCACAUAGAAAGAGAAAAAGACUCAAUAACCCAACAAUAUCUAGUUUCGUUUAGGUCAUGUUAUCAAUGGGUCAAUUACCUAAGUGAUAGAAUAACAAGCUAAAGUUUAAGUUAAUAUAGAACAAAGUAUCAAAAGUAAAGGUUCGUGCAAAGAGAUGGCUCAUGACCAAUCAAAGAGCUCAAUUUCUUAAUGCUCAAAGGGGCGUUUGGUAGAGUGUAUAAGAAUAGUAUAAAAUAUAUUAGUAUUGUUGGUAUUAGAUAAGUUGAGAUUUUUCAUGUGCGGUGUUUGAUUUGGUGUAUUAAAACCAACAUGCAUGCAUUAUAUGUAUUAAUUAUACACACAUUAAUACCAAGUAGAGUGUAUAACUAAUGAGAUAUGCAUGGAUUGAAAAAGUUCGUGAAAGGAGGUGCUAGUAAUAUACAAAGUUAAUGCAUGCAUUAUUUUUUAUAAUGCACUCUAUCAAACGAUCCCUAAUAGUAUUGUUGCUAAUGAAAUAAUGACAUGUGUCUUUCCGUUAUAGGUAUCACGUCGUAUUUACAGCCUAAGUUGGGCACGCUACACAUCCGCACAUAUGAUAGUCCUGAUAUUUUUGUCCCCUUACCCUUAUCCCCUACUCCAGGUGUGGGGAUGUCGUUUCGUGAGACUCUCUUCAAGUGUGAACAACUGCUAGGUUUUCUCAUGACUUAAAAAUGUCACAUUGCACUCCAAAAAUAUCCUAUCUCGAGAGGUUCUGUCUCUUCGUCUCCUUCUUUCAUUUUAAUUUAAUGUCAAUUUUUUAUUUUCUUAAGAGCCGAUUAAUUAAUCUAUUAACUCAACUAAUUCAAAUACAAAAUUUAGAAGAGAUUCAAUCAUUUUAAAAAUUAAUUAUACAUAUAUUCUCCUUGUCUUAAGGCCAUCUCCACCCCCCUCUGGUUUUUGUCUAUACUUCAUAUUUGUAGAAAAAAAAUAAAGAUGGAUAAUUCCAACUCAUCUCUAUUUUUGUCUGAGUAAAUUUCCUAAAUAGUCACCCAUGUUAGAAAAUUUACCUUAUAAUAUCAUUUUUGUUUCUUUUUGGACCAUAAUAUCACCCAAUUAUUCCUAUUUUUCUCAAAAUAUAUUUGACAUAAUAUCAACAUCAUUGAGUAAAUUCCCUAAAUAAUCACCCAUGUUUGAAAAUUUGCCUAAUAAUAUCACUUUUAUUUUUUUUAGGACCACAAUAUCACCCAACUAUUCCUAUUUUUCUCAAAAUAUACUUGACACAAUACCAACAUUCUUCUCUCUCCUAAUAGAAUACCAUGUCACAUUUUUUUUUUUUAACAAUACAUAAAAGAGUGUUUUGUCUCUAUAAGCAUCAACUUCUUUUACAUAUUCAAUCAAAAUAUUUACCUAAUUCUUGAAUAAGCAACUUCUUUUACUUAUUCAAUCAAAGCAUUUACCUAAUUUUUGAAGAUUUCGAAGCUGCAACGGUGAAUAAGUGUACAUGUUGUUAUACUUUCAGUAGUUCAAUACAUUAUUUUCUGUACGAGAAUCUAGUUACUUCAAUUUCAUAGCGAAAAUCUUUAUUCUCUAUUUCAUUCACGAGUAUUUGCAUGAACAUCAACUUCUCUUCAUACAAAAAUUUAACCUUUCUCUUAUCAAAAGAAAAAAUUAAAUUAGUUCCUUGGAGCUAAUCAGGAAGACAAAACAUAAUAACAAAUUUUCUUCCCUGUCUUACCAAACUAUAUGCACAAACAAAUUUGGCCUUCAAAAUAACAAAUUUUAGCAUCAAUACUUCAAAAAAGUGUUAUAACUUACUAUAAUUUACAGCUAAAUAAUAUUUUAUAGGCAAGUGGCAACAUCACACUGUACCACGCCAUAAUAUAAACACAGAGAUUUUAGCAAAAGAAGACACACAAUGUGUCUAAAUAAGUGUUUCACAUAACUAACAAAAGAAACUAAUGUAUAAUCCCUAUAUUUUACUAAAGUUUCUCUUCUUCUUCUUCAACAAAACUACAUAAUUCUUCAUGACUUUUCUUUCAAAAUGGCUUCCUUUCUUUGCUGUAAAAGAAGGUCAAUCAACAGAUUCAACAUGUACACCUCCCUGAGCCAACAAUAGAGGAAAAAAAAAUACAAUUAAGCAAUGAAACUAAUGGGAAAAAAAAUCAUAACUUUGCAAUAAAUUAACUGAAAAUAAAUAAAACAAGAAUUCAUUAUGUGAGUUCUAGUUGACUGCUUUGUUGAAUUCAAAUCCAUUUGUGAAUCUACUCAAAUUUUUGGAUGAUAAAAUUUAGAAUAAUUUCACAAAUCAUCAUUUUCAGCUUGUUCUUUGAUUGAUCUAGAGAUUGAUUUGAAGAAACGUCUACAACCUUUUUGAGCAUAUAGAGAUGCAAGAAAUUUAUAAACAUUAGAGGUAUAAGGUGCAAUAGUUUUGGGAUAAAAUGCAAGAUUACUUAUCCUACGUUUGGAUAAAGGCAUUACUUAGUCCCGAAAUUAUUUAAGUGAUGGAAUUAGUUAUCAUCUAUGGUGGAAUAACUAAUCGUUGGAUUAGUUAUCCCGGAAUAACUUAUUCUAGUUAUUUUCAACCAAAUAACCCCUUAAGAGUAGAUGCCUCCCAUGUUCUACACAGACUAUAGACACAAACACAUAAUGCAGAUUCAAACAAUAGAAUAUCCCAUUCAAAAACAAGCAAAAAAAAUUCUAAAUUUUAAGAAAAUUACUCCAAUACCACAUUGAGUAUUCAAAUUAUUUCACAAUUUAAACUUCAAAGAUUGAAAAAAAAAAUCGAAUUUUACUUCGUGACGAUAUCUUUGGUCGAUAUCAAAGGGAUACAGAGGCUAGAGAUACAAUCUAUUAUGCAAAUUCAUUAAUUUAUUCAUUGAAGAACCAACAAUUUCCUCAAAGAACCAGAGGAUUCCAUGUUAGAAGUUGCCUCAGAACUCUAGAAAAUUUUUUCGGACAGAAAAAUAUGCCUCUUUGUAAUCUUCUUCUAGGGUAAAAGAUCGGUGGUUUAAAAGGUUAAAAAACUUAUUAUUAAAAAAGAAAAAUGUCAAGUAUAUUUUGAGAAAAAUAGGAAUAGUUGGGUGAUAUUAUGGUCAUAAAAGAAACAAAAAUGAUAUUAUAAGACAAAUUUCCUAACAUGGGUGACUGUUUAGGGAAUUUACUCCAACAUCAUUCUUUCUCCUAAUAGGAUGCCAUGUCACACUAAUAUAUAAUGUGUUUUAAUUUACAAAAUUUUAUAAACUUGAAUAGAUUCUCAGGAAAUUAGAUCGAAAAUAAUCAGAAAUGAUUGAGUCGGUAUACAUAUUUGAGUGUGUUUGGUAUGAUGGAAAAUAUUUUUCCCGAAAAAAAUUUCCUGAAAAAAAAGUUGGUUUUCUACUUAUUUUCUCAUGUUUGGUUGGUGAGUGAAAAAUAUUUUAUAGUGUUUGGUUGGUGAAUAGAAAAUAUUUUUUGAAAAAUAUUUUCUAGUGUUUGGUUGGUGAGUGAAAAAAUAUUUUUUAAAAAACACUACUAACUGUUAACUAGUAUAUCAUUGUCUCCAGCAACUCAACAAUUUGUAAUAACUAAUUUAAGCAUAACAAAUAAUAUCAAUAUCGAGUACUAAAAUAUUACAAGUCACUAAAUUUUAAGCAACUACUAAUUAGCAAGCAUAGGAGACACUUUUCAAUAUUUUUGCAAGACAAUCUCAAGAUACUACAAUCAAUAAAAAUACAACGAAAUGAUAAGCUUAUUCAACCUUGUGAAACAAGCUACGGCGAUGACAAAAUGAAAUAUGCAAUUAGCAAAAUUAACAUAGGUAAGUCUUCCUUUAUGCAAAUGGAAAUAACAGUACAUUUAAAAAACAUUGGAAACAGAAAAAAAAUCCGGACUUCACUAUUUUUUAUUUCAAGUAAUGAAAAAAUUGGAAAAACGCAUAGUAAAAAAAAUUUCUGAGUAAUGAAUUUUUUUUGAAUAAUGUGAUUUUGAGUGUUGUUGGUGUGGAAAAAAGGGUUGGGGUGGAGUCAUAAGCUAUAUUUGUCAUUUUCUGAAAAAUAACUUUCCUUGCCCAAGGAAGUUAUUUUUCCUCAAAUAGAGGAAAAAUAAGUUAUUGUGAAAAAUAUUUUCCCAACAUUUUAUUACAACCAAACAAAGAAAAAUAGGAAAACAUUUUUCAUCAUACCAAACACACCCAUUAUGUAUAUAUAUUCUCCUCAUGUUAACAUUAGGUAGGGGUGUACACAUCAAACCGUCAAGUCAAAUCGAACCGAUGAACCAAGACAAAUCGAGAAAAAAACCGACUUAUGGUUUGAUUUGAUUGGUUUGACAUUAGAAAAAAAAAUCGACCAUUUUUUAUUUGGUUUGGUUUUGACAAAAAAAAAAAAGUCAAACCGAAUCCGAAUCAAACCGACAUAAUAUAUAUAUAUAUAUAUAUAUAUAUAUAUAAUAUUCAAACUUUUUUAUACAUAAAAUAUUAAUUAUAAUCUACUUUUUAANNNNNNNNNNNNNNNNNNNNNNNNNNNNNNNNNNNNNNNNNNNNNNNNNNNNNNNNNNNNNNNNNNNNNNNNNNNNNNNNNNNNNNNNNNNNNNNNNNNNNNNNNNNNNNNNNNNNNNNNNNNNNNNNNNNNNNNNNNNNNNNNNNNNNNNNNNNNNNNNNNNNNNNNNNNNNNNNNNNNNNNNNNNNNNNNNNNNNNNNNNNNNNNNNNNNNNNNNNNNNNNNNNNNNNNNNUUAAUUUUAUAUUAAUUUAAUUUAUAAUUUUAAUAAACCUACAUAAUUAAUUUUUUAUUUUUUAAAAUAAAAAUCGACCGCCAUUACCAAAACCCCAAAAGGGCAGAAAAUAUCUCACCAUCUAUUUUAGUUCUAUAAAUAAAUAAAAGCCACGCGUGGAUCUCUCUCUCUCCUAUCCAUACAUCCUUCUAGGGUUCCGCCUUCAGCCACCACGAUGCAACCAGCAAAUUCCAUGGUUCCACCGCCACAGCAAUACCAACAGACACAGCCCUGGAUGACUCAGCAGCAGCCGCAGUAUCAGGUUGCGCCGCCGCAGCAAUCGGCAUAUUAUUACCAGCAACCACCGCAACAAGGCGGUGUUCCUCCACCCGUUCAACAACAACAACCACCGCAGUACACCCCUGCUGCUACCGCUCCUGUUCAACCGGCUAGUGCUGAUGAGAUCCGAAGCCUUUGGAUCGGAGAUCUACAGUUUUGGAUGGAUGAACAAUACCUUCUCGGCUGCUUCGCACAAACCGGAGAGGUAUGAAAAAUACCUUUUUAUUGUUUUCUUGUACAAUUUGAUAUAGAUUCUUGCUAAGUUUUUCGAAUGGUUCAUGUUCUUGAAUUAGAUCGAAAAAUCUUUGACUGUUAUGUAUUUGUAUGCAUAAAUAUUGAAGUUCUUAAUGUUUGUGACUUAUAGAACUUCUUGUGUAGUGUUCUAGAUACGUAAAUUAUUUUUCAAAAAGCUUAAAAUUGUAUGUCGAAUGGUUUGACUCUCUGAACUAUGUCAUAUAAAGAAUUUGCUGUUCUCAGUAUCUAGUAAUUUUGUUGUUAAGAGGUAUGUGAAUAUGAUGUAGUUCAUAGUAAGUGAAUUUUCUGUUACAUUGUUGGUAAAAAAUAUGUGGAUGAUCUGUAAUUGUAUUCAGUAGCUUGCCUUACAUGGUUGGAUAAAUGUUUCGACUGUAUGCUGUAGUAUAUUUUCAGUUGCGUGUAUACCUUUGUUGGCAAAAGAUAUGUGAUAUAAUGUUUGUAUUAAACCCUGUGUUAGGUAAAAUUCUUAAAUUUUGCUGUACAUAGCGACAACAAUAACUGGGAAUUUGUGGAUUUGAAAAGAAUUGUGACUAGUUUUGCUUACACAGUGGCAAGAUUAACUUGGAAUUUGUGGAUUUUUAAAGAAUUGUGUGUUUGUUGUAAUUAGUUAGUUGAACCAUUGCUUGAUAUUUAAUUCGUAUAAUUUGAACUCUAUGAUGUUAGUGGGAUUACACUGGGUAUGUUGUUGUUGUUGCUGUUAAUGGUUGCCUUUUAUGUUCUAAAAAUAAGUUUCUCUGCAAUUUAAGAUUUUUUUAAUAUGUUGCAAGUUGAAUUGUUAUUGGUUAGGAACUUCUUUAAUUUUUUAAUCCUAAUUGGUGGUUGUAACUUACACUUGCUGGUACCUGCUUUUAUUGACUUUGGGUAUUGGGUAUUGACGCUAGAUAGGAUUUUGACGAAGCCUCACUGUAUUUGAGCUACUGAACGAAGGGAGCUAGUAAUCCUUACAUAACCUUAUUAAAUAAAUAAAUCCAUGCCUAAAUCUUUGUGCGAAGUUGUUUGUGCUAAAUGAUUGUGUGAUGGUUUCCUUUAGAUGCCUAAUUGCUGAAACAUACAAUAAGAACAUUUUCACUUGCCCCCUCCCUCUUUCUAUUUAACUAUCUUCUCUUUUACAUUGUAUGGGCAGUAUUAUUACUAGUAUUAACAAUCUUCUUUCCCUUUCCCUUGCCCUUUUUGUUUUUUGUAAAGAGAAUUUAAACUGUUUGUCUAUGAUGUAGGUGAUCUCUGCUAAAGUUAUCCGUAACAAGCAAACUGGACAAUCAGAGGGUUAUGGCUUUAUUGAGUUUAUUAGUCAUGCUGCCGCAGAAAGGAAUCUGCAAGCAUAUAAUGGGACCUUGAUGCCUAACAUUGAGCAAAAUUUCAGACUUAACUGGGCUUCUCUUGGUUCUGGUGAAAAACGUGCUGAUACUCCUGAAUAUACAAUAUUUGUUGGUGACUUGGCAGCCGAUGUCUCUGAUUAUAUGCUUCAGGAGACAUUUAGGGCUAACUAUCCAUCUGUGAAGGGUGCCAAGGUUGUAACAGAUAAGCUCACGGGGCGCACCAAGGGUUAUGGUUUUGUUAAAUUUGGUGAUGAAAGUGAGCAGUUACGUGCUAUGACUGAGAUGAAUGGACAGUUUUGCUCCACUAGGCCUAUGCGGAUUGGUCCUGCAGCUAACAAGAAGAGCAUGGGUGGUCAAAGUCAAGGUAUGCCUCAACCUAGUUGGUAUGCAUUAUGUGGUAAUCUUUGUAGCAGUUAAGGGAAACAAAUUCAACUUCCAGCUUGUUUGCUAACUUCACUCGGCUUUUAGAUUCUGGAACUUUCGUGUUGUGUUUACUUGUCCUAAAUUCCUUUGAUGGUCUAGUUUUCAUAGCUUGAGGAUGCUUUUCCUUUAUUUUGGGCUGAAGUGAUGUCUUUAUAUGUUCUGCUUAGCUAUGCAGGUGUCAUUAUAUUUCCUUUCAUUCCAUUAUGCUGUUGAAUUCUUGAUGAAUACCCAGCUGUCGACUUCAUUUCGUUCCAGUAGUUAAAAACUUCCCAUUGCAAUAUUAAAUCUUAUAAAACUCCGCUUAUCUCCAAGCAGGAUGAUUUGGAGGCUCUAUGAUUUAAGGGUCUGGACGCUUGUUUCAGCUGAAAUGAAUACCUUUUAGGGCGUGGUGUGGCGUAAGUCAGUUCAUUUAAAUGUAGUUAAAUUUCGCUCUGUAGGAUCCUCUUGACAUUAAACCUUUUUAAGUUUUGCAAUUUUUUCAUUACUCCGUACUCCAGUUAGAUUGCUUUAUCUCUACUUUUCAGCCAUUUUGCUUUGUCCUUACUUUUCAACCAUUUUACUUUUAUCAUUAAUUUUCAGCCAUUUUGCUACAUCAUUACUUUUCAGCCAUUUUACUUAUCAUUAAUUUCAGCCAUUUUAGUUUAUCAUUAAUUUCGGCCGUUUUGCUUUAUCAUUAAUUUCAGCCAUUUUGCGUAAUCAUUAAUUUCAGCCAUUUUGCGUUGUCAUUACUUUUCAGCCAUUUCACUUUAUCAUUACGUUUGAGACAUUUGACUUUAGAGGUUAUAUUUCAGCCGUCUAAUUCGAUAUCUUGUUGCCUGCCUCAAGUUGCACUCUGAUCUUUAGUAUACCUCUACAGGUUGUGGCAGUCUCAUUCAUUACUUUAGUUGUCCUAGUCCUGGAUUUAUUUCUUAGUUUUACUCCAUUUACCUCGUGAACCUGUUCAGUAAUCCCCCUUCACAGGAGUGAGAGGUUACAUCGUCUGUUUCUUGUUUGUCCAAGAUCUUGGUACUCAUUUUUUUUUUUUUGCAAUGCUAUUACUAUUGGGGGUAUUAAAAUCAUUUUUCUUUCAGCAUGAUUUACUUUUAAAUUAUGAAUUAUUGUGACAUGAAAUAUCUUCUUGAUAAAAAAAGGGAUUUGUCUUUUUAUCUGAUGGAGUGCUGGUAGCUGUUUGUAUAGUUUCUUGUAACAUUAUUUAGGGAAACUAGUCCCCUUUCCUAGUUUCUUGCCUUUCUUCUUUAAUAGUCAUGUGCUAAGGCAAUAAAAUUAUCUUAAUGCAUGAGAUAGGAGCCCCACUUGGUUGGAUUAUACUGCGUAUGUUGUUGCAUGAGAUAGGAUGUGAUAAGUUGAUGCCGUGGGAAGCCCAUGAUAUUAUUAUUCAGAAACCGCAGGACAUCUGAUGGUGUAUUAUUUAUUAUAUACAUCAUGUAAAUGUAUUUUCUAUUUGCUGACUCAUAUAUUGGUCUGUCUCUUCGCCUUUGCCAAACUCUGGCCCAUCCUUCACAAAUUUGAACAUAGAUCUUUUCUUGUUUCUGAACUUCCAAAAGCACAUCUGCAUGUAUUCACUGUGGUAUCUGAAGAACCUCUCAUUUGAUGAUCCAACAUUUCAGAAGUGUGCAUUUUCGAAUGCUUGAUUGCACUAUCUCAACUGUUGGACGUGCCUCCUGAUUUUCUUAAACCUUUCAAGUCAAAUGUCUGUCAGCUUGUGUUCUCUCAACUCGUGCACUUUCUGUUUCUUUUGAGACCUGUAAGAGCUAACAGUUAUUGUACGUCUUGUACUGUUGGAGCAGUGUAACCAUCAGUCUGUUGCUUGCAUUGUGUAAUUGUGAAAUGACAGUGCAGUGUUAUCUCGCUUGCAUUGUGUAAUUGUGAAAUGACAGUGCAGUGUUAUCUCUUGAACCUGUACAUUGAUUUGUUUUUAGUUUUAGUCUUCUGCUUUGUAGUUUUGUAUUCCUACUGUCAUGUCUUUGCUAAAACGUGUGUAAUGCACUUCAUCAUACUCAGAUAGCAUAAAGUUCUCCACACACUCCUCACAUUCUCUUCUUCAAUUUGCAGCUUCGUAUCAAAGUUCACCUGGAACUCAAAAUGAGGAUGACCCUUCUAAUACCACUGUCAGUACAUUUCUUUGUGGUAUCAUUUGACGUUCUGUUAGCUUGUACUCAUAGCCAAAUAAUUUGGUUGCAGAUUUUUGUUGGGAACUUGGAUUCCAACAUAACGGAUGAACAUCUAAGGCAGGUUUUUGGACAUUAUGGGCAGCUGCUUCAUGUAAAAAUACCAGUAGGCAAGCGUUGUGGAUUUAUUCAGUUUGCUGACAGGUAUAGUAAUAAGCUUUGUCUAUAUGAUCGAUCUCAAUGCUUGGAGAAGUUAACACAUGUUCCAUCUUCGUUAUUGCAGAAGUUGUGCUGAGGAAGCUCUGCGGGCAUUAAAUGGAACUCAGCUGGGUGGACAAAGCAUCCGUCUUUCUUGGGGUCGUAGUCCUGCAAACAAGCAGCAGGUAAGUAAUGCUGAAAUUAUAAUUUCUGGUUGUGGCUCUUCUCAAUCUGCCAAUCUGAAUUUUAUGUUCCUUCUCUGGCUUGUGCAGCCCCAGGUUGAUCCAAACCAAUAUGGUGGUUAUUAUGGGUAUACAGCUGGAUAUGAAGGCUAUGGUUAUGCUCCCCCUGCUCAGGAUCCAAAUCAGUAUUAUGCAGGCUAUGCUGGAUAUGGUAAUUACGCACAACCUCAACAGCAUCAGCAAAUUUUGCAGCAUCCCCAGGUUCGAUGAACCCUUUGAGCUUAUUUAUUAACUAAAGCUACUCCCUCCGUCCAACAAUACUGUCCGCUAUUGACUCGGGGCACAUGUUCAAGUAACAAUAUAUAAUAGGGGUAAUUUUACUAUAUCACCCUUUGAAUAUGGUAAAUUGGAUGUCUUGGAAAAUGUAUUGAUUGAUGAAUAAUAGUAUUUAAUAGGAAGGGUAAAACUAAUAGAGAAGGGUAAAUGAUCCAUCGAUUUUUCAAACUGGACAAGUAUUGGUGGACAUCUAUUUUUAGUAUUGUUGGACAGAGGGAGCACUCAACACCCACCAAAAUGGAAAUGAAUGCAACAUUGUUCAAGGCUAUUAAUACUAUCUUAUUAAGUUUUUGACUGCUUUUAAUCUUUUCUCCACGUUUUUGUUAGUUGCUUUCUAAAAUAUAAUGAUAUGUAUGAAUACUCAUCCCCACUUCCUUUUGCAGUGAUCUGUCCAAGGAGUUGCCGAGUGCUUCCCGGCAUGUAGUGAUGUUAUAAGCAGCACAUGAGAUUUUCAGUUGGAAUCCAGACGUGUUUCACUUUCUUAGGGUGUUUUGGGAACUCUUCUGUAGGCUAUUUCUUUGGGAUACAAAUUAUGGUUAUGGUCAACUGAUUGUGUGCUCUUUGUUUUUUGGUUACCAUUUGGCUACUUAUAUAUGAGAUCUAGAUAUACUUGAAGACCUCGGGGAAGUGUAGGCAUGUAUUCAUGUGCUUUUUGGCUAUUUAAGCUAUGCUUAACGCUUUAUUUUGCUCGUUGCUAUACGUUUGUGCCACCUUUCAUAGUAGUUUUUACCACGUUCCUCCAAAAACAAUUGCACAGAUGGUCAUUUGGAUGACUGCCGUCUCAAGUUAUUUUGAUAAAAUGCUCGUAGGGCAUUGGUGUAGGGUUAACUUUAUAUUGAUGCCUAGUGCCGGAUGCGACAGUGUAGGGUAUACUUACUAUUGAUGCCAAUUGCCAGAUGAUGUGGCUUGGUCCUGCUUCCGGGUCUUGUAAUAAGUGAUAAUGGCCCUUCUAGGCAAUGUCUAGCAUAAAUUUUCGUAGUGGUGGUAGGAUCACAAAUGAGACAGCAAAUGGCUGUAAAUUCUUCUUUUCAUUGCUGCUCACGAUGCCAUUAUCGGUGGUCUAGAUUUUCUAUGGUUGUUGCUUGUUUGCUGCCAUACCUUGGACCCACCACCAAUCAAAAGAUAUUGCGAGUGCGCUCAAUAAGGUAACACCCAUUUUCCGGUUUCAUGCUGGGAAGUCUUAGGGUUACCCCCAAACGAAGGAAACUCCAACCCAGGAGGUUCGAACUUGAAAUCUCUGAAUAAGGAUGGAAUAAGGAUGGAGUACUGAGGAAAUUAAAAUCAUCAAUUCGUUAGGGUAGUGGGUAUAUGUGCAUUCAAGCUGCUACUUUUUGGGAUCACAUAUUUAGGAAGAUUCGAUCCAAUAAUUGCAAGACGUUUGAUAAGACUAGUGCUGGAGCAGAGAAAUAACCAACUUCCAAAUAGUACUCACGUAACAGAAGACGCUAAUAUUAAAGGAAUGCGAAGAGACAAAUAAUAUUAAAGGAAUGCGAAGAGACAAAUAGCUAUCUGAUUUUGCUUUUGAUACACACUGGCAUACUGAAUUCUCUUCUCCAGCAGUGGCAAGAACUUUAAAUGGAAUUGUCAGAUCAUGCCUAGUUUAAAUAUAAACCAGUUCGUAAAUGUACCCAUAAGAAAGACUGAGACGGCCAAUUUGUUAUUCCUCCAAGGCAUAUCCCAGCAAGAACGGAAAUUUGGACCUUAGCACUAAUUAGAACAACUUUCACAAUCUCUCAUAAGGAAAACAAGGGAAAAACAAAUACACGAAUGCUCACUCUCCUCAAACCACAAGCUGUGUGGAAGGCUGAAAGCUGGAAGUAGUAGUCAACAGUUCACAAGCAUCUCGGUUUCUGUGUGUGUGUCUGCAUCACUGUAUGUGUAUAGUCCAGGUACAACAACAUAGCCAGUGUAUCCCAUAAGUGGGGAUAGUAUAACCAUAUAUUGCAUAAUAAAUGCCUAUUCUAACGCCAAAGCUAUGUCAAAUACGUUGUCAAAUACAAUACAAAUGCAAGAUACUCCAAGUACACACCAAAACAUACAUACUACAUACUAACUUAGACUAACCUUCUAUCCUAAUUCGCCUCCUCCACAACUUCCUAUCCAGGGUCAUGUCCUCGGUAAGCUGAAAUUACUCCAUGUCAUGUCGAAUCACCUCCCUCCAAUAUUUCUUCGGUCUACCUCUACCUCGCUUGAAACUAUUCCUAGCCAAUCUCUCACACCUUCGUACUGAGGCAUUCUUGCUCCUCAUCACAUGACCAAACCAUCUCAACCUCGCUUCCCUCAUCUUGGCUUCCACCGAAACCACUCUCACCUUAUUUCGAAUAACCUCAUUUCUAAUCCUAUCUUUCCUAGUACACCCACACAUCCACCGAAGCAUUCUCAUCUCCGCCACCUUCAUCUUCUGAAUGUGGUUCUUCUUAAUAGACCAACACUCCGCUCCAUACAACAAAGCUGGUGUAACCACCAUUAAAGAGACAUUGCAUAGCCAAUGAAAAUAAAAAACAGGUCACACAAGAGCCGCAUUUUGCAUUUAAUAUAUGUUCUUCUAGAGACUAUGAUUUCCAGUAUCUCAAUCCCUUUUACAGGAAAAUCAACAUGUAGUUCAAACAUGUCCAAUUAUAUAUUUACUUCGUGUUAUUUCUAUUUGUCACAUUUUGAUCUAACAUACAUGCGUAUUAAAGAAUAAUAAUAAUAAUAACUAAUAUAAUUAUUUUACUAAAUUUCUUAGAACAUUUUAAAAUAUCUAUCCAUCCAUCCAAUUUAUCUUGUAAAUUAUCGGAUCGAAUAUUACUUAGAUGUGAAACUUGCAGACCUCAUUGGUUGUAAUAUUUAUCGUACGGUCUUUAUUAGUUGAUGUAUAAAUAUUAGCGUUUCAUUCUUUCAAUAAUAUUUGUCCACUAUCAACUUGACACAAUUAAGAAAUAAUUAAUAACAAAUAAUUUUUAUCGUAUUAUCUUUUAAAGAUAUAAUUUAUUAUUUUAAAAAAUAUGUUGGAUAAUAAAUAGUGUUUAAUUUAUUUCUUUUUAUCCUCAACUGAGAGCACUUGUUGUUUACCCUCUGACCAUUAUGAUAUCUGUUUUGACAGCUUGAUAAUAGUAUUUGUUUUUGUGUACAUAAAACUGACACUAAUAUCUUAAACCUUGUAUGUACUACCAUAUUGUGUUGUAGUAAUAUUUUGAUAAAUAAAUAUAUUGCUGAAAUUUUUGUCAACCAAAUGAUAAUAUCUCUUAAUCGAUACUGAAAAUUUUGCAAGCGUUUACGUUAAGAUAAUAUUGUUGCACCACAGUAUUAUCAAAAGCAAAAAACUAACGCAAAAAAGCUUCAAGGUCCAUUGAGUUUAAGCACAACGUACAAAUAUAGCGUGAGAUUUAACGAAAAAGGCAUAAAGGGAGAAUAAAUAUAAAUAUAUGUCUAGUCCAAGACUAAUAAUAUAAGCAUGAAUGAAAAAUAUAUGAGUAAAGAAAUUAAUUUUUUUUUACAAAGUGAAAUGUCAAUUGAUUGAGUGUUCGUCUCUUCAGAAAACCUCAUUGAUAAGGAAAAGUAAGUCUUAGAAAUUAAAACCUAAACUGAACAUUGCGAGCGCUCAACACAUUUUGAGUCUUGCUUCAGGGCUUAUGCGCGCGUUUGAUAACACUGGUGCGCCCACAGACUUCAAAUCAUGAGUGCCUCUGCACAUAAAUAAUAUAAUUUUCCGUCAAAAAAAAUUUGGAUGAAUCCCCUAAUCAUAAGCUCGCCCCUGCUUUAUAAAGCAGUUUUCUCCGUCUCAAAUUAUUUGUUGCGGUUUCUAAAAGUAUUUAUCUCGAAUUAAUUGUCGUUUUAGAAGUUUAAGAUAAAUAAUUAUCUUUCUAAACCAUUUCAAUUCAAAAAUACUUCCUCCAUUCAUCAAUAGUUGUCUCCUAUUGACUUGACACGCAUAUUAAAACUAUUAAAUGACAGGGAUAAUUUUAAUGUUUUGAAAAAUUCUUUGAAUAUUCAAUCGCAUUUAAUUUUAAAGACAAUAAAUAAAUUAUUCAUUAAUUUUAUAAAUUAAAUAAGUAUUAUUGAACAUUUAGUUUUAAUAUAAUAGACGGAGUAAUUAUCACAUUGACAACUUGCUACUUAUUUUAGUGUAUAAAAUGAUAUGAUACAGUCAAAUAUAAGACACAUUAAGACACAUGAACCCUGAACUUAAAUCCUAAAUCCUAAACCUAAUUCCAAAUCCCAAAUCCUAAACCCUAACUUAACUCUAAACCUUAAACCCUGACCCCUUAACCCCAAACUCCAAAAUCCUAACUCCAAACCUUAAAUCUUAAACCCCAAACCCUUAACCGCAAAUUCUAAACCUUAAACUUUAAAUCCCAAACUCUUAAUCCUAUCGUUUGGGGCCCGAGGCUGGGCAUGAGGCUGUCAUUGGGCCCGACCCCCUCCCGACACUGAAAAAUUUCAUUCAAAAGAUCAAGUUGUAGAUCUUGAUGAUACAAAUUCAACGCAAAAAACCCCGUCGACAAAUUCCACCCCCAACUCCGGCAAUGUCGAAAAAACAGUCGCGAUCAUUGUUCAUCCGAACUUGGAACAAAUUGCAUGGCACAAAUGAUUAUUUCUCUAGAUCAAUUGGAUUUGAAUCUAAGCAACAUUCCGAUUAGGAAUCAUAGUCCUCAUCUUGAUGUUCAACAAAUCAAAAAUUUGGACAAUUUCACCGUCUCUAUCGCCGGCGAAUUCUGCUAGUGACAAAGACAAAGCACCGCCGUUCCGCCUCGAAAUUGAACCAUCGUCCAGCGAAUUUUGUGGUAGCGCGACCCUUGGGUUUUGUGCGCCAUCUGCUGAUCUAUCAGAUCAAGGAAAUUCAAAGCAGUCUAACGACGAAAACUCUGGCAAACUAUUGUUCAAUGCCGACGCCGGAGCUUCGACCGGCAAAAAUGAAAAAUUCCAACGCCAAAAGAUGCGCACUGAUGAGGCGAACCCAACCAUGCAAAAAUACCCAAUUGUUUCAUCUCAGAACGUAUCCAAUUUGAGUUUGAAAGUUACGCCACCUAGGGUGAUUUUUGACGAAGGCGCCGCCGCUGCCGCAACCGGCCAAUUGGAAAUUGGGUUGGGGGUUCUGAUCGCAAUAUGGACAGCAAUACAAAUACACAAGAAGCCCCAAUUGUUUUGCAACAGGAAAUUAGGGUUUCAAAUCGGCAAAAUUCUAACAAUGCCGGCGAUGGAACUCCGGUCAGUGAUAAUCAAAAUUGCUUGUCAAAUUUGAUUCAGGAGGACAAUGCAUGUAUUUCUCCUCAAGAAAAUCAAAUAGACGAGGCCGGAGCUCUUCUAUUUUCUCUUUUAGGCUUAACGAUGAAGUACAAUUAACCGGAGAUGGUGUUCCGAUGUCUAGAGAGCAUAAUUCACGGUCCAAAAUCUAUCCUAAAGCUAUGGUGAAUGCGGAUACUCCUCAAGGACAUGCAUUGGACCAACAAAAUGGUAAGUUGAAUUCUAACUUGAUUAAUGCUAAUGCUUGUCUGUUUGUGAUGAAAGGAAACAAUGAACUAAUAUUGAUGAGGAACCAACACAAUUCUCAAAGUCCUGAGGACGCAAUCAACAUCACCAAUGCUAAAUUUACGUGUCCGAGGGCUAAACCGAGGGAUGAUCACUUUGCAAAACAUGAUGGAAAACAACAAAAUACAACUGUAUGUCCAACAGGAGAACAACAACUUCAUCAAUCGACGGACACGACAAAUGCAGGUAAGUACCCGAAUCCCUUGAAUUCAAAUCAUUUUGAUUCCAGUAAUUUAGUUAACACUAUAGCUCAAUUGCAAUGUGAUGCAAUAGAACAAAGUAUUGGUGAUCUAACCUAUGAUGUGCAGCUUAAGGAAAAUGAUACCAAGACCAUUCUAACAAAGCUCAUAAACAACACCACACAAACUAUGAUUAUCCAAAAGUUUCCAGGAAUUUUGACAAGUAUGACCCCAAAACUCAAACCAAUACUCAGAAUAUUUCCCUCAAUAAUCCCAACAGACCUACUUUGCCUAACCCCAACAACAACCCAAAAAAUAAUUAGGACUCUACUCAGCAUAAGCACCAAAAGAAAAACCUGAAAAACCUUUCAGAAAAUCACAAUAAAGACACUACUUCUGAUAACACCAACAAUACCAAAAAUAAACUUGUUCCUGAACUAGCUCCCUUCACUGUUGUGCAAUCUUAUGCUACCAGAUUGAGAGCUAACAACAGAAAAAUGAGGUCCCUUUUGAACUGGAUUCUCUGAAUUUUACUAGUAGACAGGGCUUAAAAAAUCUCGAUCUCCGAAAGCAUUUUCUUUCCCUCGCCGCACCUCUCUUUGAGGAGCAGGACUUUGUGGUCAAGCUGGCUAGUAGGUGCAAGUAUACUCUUGUUGGAAAGUUCACUAACACUAUGCCAAAAGAUUGAGCUUAUUAGGAAAAGUUUCAUCCUUCAAACUCAACUCACACCGAGGUGUGAAAAUAGCUCAUUUUAAUGCAAGACAUGUCUACAUUGAAUUAGACAAUGAGCAAUAUCACCUCAUUAUUUGGACUCAACAGAGGAUGUACAUUGAAGGUCAAUUAAUGAUGAUACAUGUGUGGACUCCUACUUUCAUACCUGUGGAAGAGAUUUCUAUUGUGCCUAUUUGGGUCACUGUAACGCCCCAAAAAUCUGUCCUAAGACGUCACACGAUGCCUAGGAUCACAAGUGACCCCAAGCUAACCCUUCUACUGGCAUAACUCAUAAGCAAUUGAAUGAUGUGCAUAAAACGACUGAGUUUACUGUGCGAAAAUGUAAUAAUAAUGGAAUCUGGAAAAAAUACAAUAUCAAUACACUUUUACAUUCUGAUAAAGUCUAAAAGAGGGACUGAAAAUACAUAACUGAAUCUAACUAACAUCUGUGAAGCCUCUACUAUACUGACUAUCGAUAGCUGAGACAUGACCCCCAACUAUCCCAAAUCAAUACGACUAAAUAAAUAAAAUAAAAUACUACUCAAACUAUAUGACUGACUCGAGCCCUUGAAUCAAGAGGACUCAUCACCUGCCGACUGAAAGCUGCAGUCUGUCUGAAUAUGGUAUGUGUGCUACAACUGAACUGAUACCUACAUUAUGAGAUAAUGUAGCACAUAGACGUAUAUGUGGGUCAGUACUUUGAGGAUGUACUGAGUAUAUGGGCGUGAAAUACAUGAGUCGAACAUCAUAUCGUCAUCAUAAUUUGUAAAACAAUGCAUGCUAAAUGUAAAUGACUUACAUAAGCUAGAAUAUCUGAAAUACUGAAAAUAAUAAUCAUGAGAAAUAAAUCAUACUUGUAAAUCUAGUGAGCCAUAACAUUUAGUUCUAAAAGUUGUGCUAAUACUCUGUCUUUAAAUCAUACUGUCUAAGUGUAGAAAGGACGCACUUCUAAGCUUGAAAUCUGAAAAUUGAAAUUCGUAACUCUUUAUCUUUCUGUAAAGCAUAAUAUGAGUAAAACGGUGAGCCUUUACACAUAGUUUUUUUUUCUAAUAUCUGGAAAAUACUUUAUCUUAUGGCUUAAAAUCUUAAAACCAUAACUUCCAAAACAUAUGUUUUUAUCUUAAAUCUUUAAAUCAAUAGACUGUUAAAGAGUGGGGACAUCUGUUGGGAGGUUCUUCUAACCGACAUACACCAUGUGAGCAUCCAUGGAGUCCCACGACUGGUCCCCGUUAGGUAGGGUUGUUCUACCCUUGCCAUCGAAAUAGAACUUCUAAUCUGAGUAAUCACAAUCUGAGUCAUCCACGUAGAAGUGGGAAUAAUCUGAUAAUCUGUACCUUCGAUGGCACGUAGUUCUGGGGUAUGAAACCGUAGUAACUUACCCAUCUCGGUGCUAAAUACUACUCCCAUUCUUAUGCUUAAAAUCUUAAGAAAUCCCUAUCAAAAAUAGCACAAAGGUUUACAGAAAGCCAACUAUGCUUUACUUUUCUUUAAAUCUCAAGUCUUCUGAAAUAAAGUGGAUUCUUUAUCUGAAAUCUGAAAAUAAUCUAGUCAUGGGGUGAUUAUAGCACUAAAAAUCUUGAAACAACAAUCUUUAAAUGAGGCCUGGUGACCCAAGCAUCAAUCUCAUGUUAAAACAUCUCAAAAUUCAUACUUGGUAAUGUAAACAUUCAUAAAUCAUCUUAAAAUCUGAAAAUCUCAACAAUAUGUAUGGAAAUAUAAACAUAAUCAUGUGAUUCAACUUUUAAAUCAUGAAAAAAUCUCAUAAUCUUGCAAAUAAUGAUAAUGGGUAUAAACCCUAACUUGAAAUUCAUGAGAAAUCAUAUAAAUUGCAGUAAAUUUGUAAUAAAAUAAAGUUUUGGGCACAAGGAUGAAAGAAUUAUCCUUGUUCAAACCCCAAAUACCUUAAUUGAUGAUCUUUGAUGAAAAUCUCAAAUCUUGGAUUCCUAGUGAUGCUUUGGAGAUGAAUUCUUAGAGUUCUUAUAUUGGGAAAUCCUUAAUCUUGAGUUUCCUUGGAGAAUUAAUGGAGGAAUUUGGAUUUCUUGGAGAGAAAGUUUGAGCUUUAGGGUUUUCUUUUGAGAGUGAAUAGAUGAAAAGUGAAUAUGAUGAGCUUUGAAUGGGUUAAAUUCUCUGUUAUUCAUGACCUGGGGCUUGGAAAAGACCAAAGGGCCCUUUUGAAACUUCAAGUUGGAACUGGAAAAUGCAAUAUUUUUCCCGAUUUGAUUGGCCACUAUAGCGCACCACAAUCGCGGUGGCUCACUGGAAAAGGACGAACGGGAAAUGGAUGCUCACCGCGACGCGCCACAAUCUUGGUGCCCCUUGGAUUGCCAUAUUGGCCCUUGGCGCGAUGUCGGAAUUGGGCGAAUUUGAUAUCGAUGGAAAACUUAUUCAAUUUUCCACAUAAUAAAAAGUUGAAAUCUUGAAAAAUACCGCAUGAAAUAAAUGGUAUUCAUCUUUGAAGCAAAUUCUUGACAUUCUAAGGAAAAAUUUAAGCUAAGAAAAAUACGGGGUAUUACAGUCACUAUACCAGAACUUCCUUGGCAUUGCUACAAUAAGGAAUUUAUUUCUCUUUGGAUGAUGAUUACAGGAAAAGAAAAGAAGUUGAAGCAACGAAUAAUCUCAAGAACAAAUCAGGGCAAGGAAUCAGCAAUCAGGUAACUAACCAAAAUAAUAACUCUCAACAAGUUAUUACUAAUUUUUCUGCUAGUGUUUCAGUUACCAAAGAAAACCAUCACCAAAAUCAGAAAAUGGAAGAAAAGAAAUAACAAGAGGAGUGGCAAACCCAAAAAAGAAAGAAAUUCAAAGGUUACAACCAAAAUGCUCAAAAGAGCAAUGUAGCAAACUCAACAAGUAUACAAAUCAGUAUCGCCAAGAGCAAAACAAGACAUUGAUCAGCAAAAACAACAAGAGCAGCAGACAAGUAUUGACUCAGUGCUCCCAACCCCAUGGUGAUAUUGCAAGUCCCAUCCCCUGUGUAUCCCCCCAAAUAAUGCAGAACAAGUAAACCAAGGAAACAAACAAUGACAUAGGAAAGGGAUCCAAAGGGGGGUUGUAGACCUCAUGCUUUGCAUGGGAAUAGGUUGGUUGACCAUAGGGUGGAAUUUAGAGCCCCUGCUACCACUGCUCAUUUCACUUUUUUUCCUCAAAAUCAUGACAAUAAUAUUACUCAACACAAUGCUUUAGACGAGGUCAAUGUUACAGAUUCAGAUGCUGAAAAUUCUUGUAGUGGUUCAGAUUUGGGUGGUAAUGAUCAGAAUGAUGAGAGUAACUCUGUUCAGAUUUUUGAAAAUGCUGAAGAUCAGUCCAUGUUGUUAUUGAUACUCAGAAUUCAGCUGGUUGUGUUCAGAAUUGUACAUAGAAGGUUGAUAAGUUGAAGGUUACUAAUGCUCAAGGUUUAGAACUAAAGGGUCAGAUGUUGGGUGAUUACUGUAAUACCCCGAGACUCUAACCAAUAGUGUAACCAUGAAUCAAGCUCAUGAGAAAUAAAUUAUAAUGUUUUGGGUUUUUUUCCGAUCAAGAAUGGUGUGUAUUAAGGCCUUAAAUAUGUCCUAACGAUUGGGUGAAUCAAAACAUUCCUUACCGAUUGAAUUCUUAGGAAGAAUAUUGGUAUAGUCAACUUCAAACGAGCAUAUUUCUCAUUAUACUUGGAAUUUUCAAGCUCAUGACCUAUCAAUAGAUAUAUAAUUGAAUUAUCUUUCUAACGAUACCAAUUUCGCUAAAAUAUGAUACCGGAGCAAAGAGUUAUACCCAUUUUACUCCAACAUGUCCAACAUGUCAAUCUGAAAAAGGGUGACGACGUUUCUGAUGGCCUGUCACGUUUCUGACGACAUUUUUGACGACGUCGUCAUGUUUCUGACGACAUUUCUGAUGACAUCGUUAGCGUUAGGCAGAAAAUCAUAAAAUUCGACCAUUUUGUGACGACAUUUCGUGACGGCCUAUCAUGGAUGUAACGGCCUGUCACGGAUGUCGUCAAAUAUUUUUUUCAGUAAUUUAGAGACGUUUUUGCAAGGGUAUUUUGGUCUUUCCCAUAUUUUGGAGGCCUCUAUAAAUAUGAGAAUCCUAUCCAAACCCUAAUUCCAUCAUUUUCUCUACCAAUUCUCUUGAGAUAAUAUAUCUAGGGUUAUAUCAAGAACAUAAAUCUUCCAAGAAUCAUCUAUAAAUCUUCAAAAUUUCUUCAAGAACCAAGUUCCUCAUAGUGUGGGCUUCAAGAAUUAUUUAUUUCAAGUGUGGAUAAAGUCUCAAGCACUAAAGUUCAUCCAAUUUCAAAGAUUAAGGUAUGUGGGGUUUUGAACAAAAACACUUCUUUCGUUCUUGUGCCCAAAGAUUUAAUUUCUAUUGAAUUUCAUGAAUUUUGCAAAGUGGGUUUACACCCAAAUUACUUUAUCAAGGAUUUAUGAGAUUUGAUAUAUACAAGAUUGACACAUAUGAAUGCUUCAUUGUCUUAUUUCUUAAAUUAAGAAUUUAUGUAAUGAGUUGUAUAUUGUUAUUAUGAAAUGAUAAUUUCUAAGUGAUUUAUGAUAAGUGUCAUGAUUUAUGUUUUUCCAUGAGAACUUUGUCUAUUCAAUAUAUAUUGAUAUUGAGCUUGAGAGUCAAGAACGAGUUCUAUGAUGUUUUCUGGAAGAUUUGAUACUUGAUAUGAUUUGAUAAGCAGGUGUACUUGAUGAUGAGAAAGAUUAUUUUGAGAUUUAGUCGAGUUAGGAAUCCACAAGUUGAUUAUGAUUUACAAGUGAGAUAUAUAUUUAUAUUUUGGUCUUCAUGAUAGACCCUUGAGUUGAUUAAGGUGGAUUUCCUAACGCGUUCUGAGCUUAAGUCUAGGAGUAAUAUUUAGCACCGAGCGGGAAGUAUGGAUUCAUCGCAUCCUACUUUCCUAGAAUUACGUGCCACCGUAGGAUUAAGAUUAAGGGCCAAAGGCCAAGACAGUUGUUUUGUGGAAAAUUUUUGACUUUUUGAAGAGUCGCCGCUUAAUUUUGAAAAAGGAAUUAAGAAACCUUUAGAAAGUACUUCAAACGAUUCAAAACAAGAAAAUCGUUUAAGUUAAGAGAUUCUGAAUAAGCGGUUCCUAUUAGCGUUUUAGGAAGGUGUUAGGCACCUAAAACGUCCGCUAACUUGCGAUUAUCCGGACUGUUUGAAAAUCGUCUUUGAUUAACCUUGAAAGAAGUUGAUUUUGAAAAGUGAGUGAUUUUGUCGAAAAGAUUUGUGUAAAAACAGUUUUAGACGACCUAAUAGGGAUUUUGACUAAGUCUACACAAAUUAAAUAAGCAAGUAAACACAUAAACUGGGAAAGAGAGGAGAAAGUAAACGAUUUAGGUCGUUGGGCCCAAACCAACAAAACUUGUCCUAGUCUAAUUGAGCCUUUGACCCAUUUCACCUGUCUGUCCUAAUCUAGUUUUCGAGCCUUUGACUCGAAUCUUGCUCCAUCUGUAUUAAAUACAACUCGAGCCUUUGCCUGAAUGAAUGAACUAAAAAAAUGAAUAAAUAAACAAAUAAAGGCAACAGUAAAUCAAUAAGUAAAUAAAUAGAGACUUUCUAGUCUCUUUUCCGCUUCAAAAAUGGGAUCUUAACCCAUUCUUCUUCUUUCGACAGAGAAAGUAAGCGAUUUAGGCCAUUGGGCCCAAACCAACAAAACCUGUCCUAGUCUAAUUGGGGCUUUGAUCCAUUUCACCUGUCCUAAUCUAGUUUUCCAGCCUUUGACUCGAAUCUUGCUCCACCUGUAUUAAAUACAACUUUGGCUUCUUGGCCCGAACAAAUGAACUAAGAAAUGAAGAAAUAAACAAAUAAAGGCAACAAUAAAUCAAUAAGUAAAUAAAUAGAGACUUUCUAGUCUGUUUUUCGCUUCAAAAAUGGGAUCUAAACCUAUUUUUCUUCUUUCGACUCCUUGCAUUCGCACACUAUGCAACCUUAGACUCACUUCCGGGCUUGACUCAAUGGAUGGGCCUGAUUGUCCCAUUAAGGAAUGCAAAGAGUCCGUUUGGACUCCAACGAAUUCACAUGCAAAUUAAGAAAAAUAAAGGACGCUAAUACAUGACUAAAAAAGGGAAAAAAAUAUAAAAACAACACAUAGGCAAUCAAAGGAAGGAAAUUGAGUUAGUUAACACAUGAUCGAUCAAAGAGAGGAAAAACUAAAAGGAAACUAAUGCGGAUUUUUUUGAAAAUAGCAACGUGGUAUGGAUCUUAAAUAAUCAAAAGCCGAUUAAAAAUAGUAAUACAUGUUCGUAUCAACUCAAUAAAGAAGCAUUAUACGCAAAUCAAUCUUACAUAUCAGCUAAUCCAAAUAUUUCUCAAAAUUCUUCCUAGUUAACUUGAAAUAAUUAUUUGGACAUGCGAAGAUAAAAUGAACAUUAUUUCAAUCUAACCAAAACAUCAUAGAGACUUAAUGUAUGUAAAAAACAACAUAUGUUGACCAGUGGGUUUAUAAGGAAAGAAUCAUUUAAUCACCAUACAAAGUGACUACCAGUUCACUGUUGGCAAAAUUCUUGCAACAUGGUAUGUUAUCAAGAAAAAAAAAGGACUUAGUAUAUUGAAUUAAUUCAAUAUUAAUUAAUAUACUAAGUAAAACAUGACGUGUUCAUACUAGACGGAAGCUUCAAGUUACACCGCACAUAGCAUGUCUCCAAAUGUGAAGUAACACAUUGUUUAGACUUACAUUAGUGAGAAGCCAAUUUGUACUAAAACUUGGGCACAGAUAUCGCACGUAUGAAUUUUGCGUAGACGAAAAGUAAUGACAAAAAUGUAUAGAUUUACUAAUGAAAUACUCAUCAAGCCACUUAGAUUUAAUCGAGGGGACUGAACAAAAACCAUGCAAGAUAAGCAAUAUCAUGAGUUGCAACUCAAAUUUUUAAGCGGUUAUUAUUCAAAUGGUCAGUCUACUGCCUAACGUCGAUUAGAAGAAACGAAGUGAGAUUUAAAAGAAAGGAGAAAUAACAUUCAGACUAAAACAUGACUAUAAAUUUUAAUGCCAAAAGAAAGAGAACUUAAAAGAUGAACUAAAAAUCAUCAAAUCAAGGUUGAUGGAAAUAUCAUCUCAAAACAGCAGUCGUAAUUCGAUCGCAUAACGUAUGGCUCUCAAGGCCUCUACAGCGAAACAAUUCUUCAACACCCAAGGUUAUAAAAUGCAAUUACGGACAAGACAACAUGAGGCUAAAAACUGUUAAGCGAGAAUCAAGCUAUGAUCUUUAACCAUGAACCAAAAAUUCAAAUCAUAAACAAUACACAAGAUGAGACAAUAGGUCAAAAAUUAAUCAGUAACACCAAGAGUAGAUGAACAAUUACAAAAUCGAGAUAAAGAUGACGGAAACCAUAUAUCAGACAAUCAGAAUAGGAAUUAAUUCUAACAUAACAAUACAACCAACACUGUUUUUUACUAAAAUAGCAACCUAUGGUCUUUGAGACCUCUACAGCAACAACCAGCAUACAAGAUUCUCGGCAUAAUACUUAUGACUAUAGAAUGAAGAGGUGAAGCAGAAUACAAUGGAAACUAAGUGGAAAUAGAAUGUUACCUAUUCAGGAGCAGCAAAACGAGACGACGAAUCGGUACAGAGAUCACGACUACCAGAAAAUUUCUUCACAGUUGACUCGAAGCUCUAAUUUAGCUGAUGAACUUUUAAAAUAAGAACCAAAUUUCUCCAAGAAUUUCUUUAUUUCUUUCUUCUUCCUUGGUUUUUUCUAAAUCUAAAAUUUUCAACUCAUUUUUUGAAAACCCCCAAAAUUUUCCCCAAUUUUUGAACCCUCAAAAAACCGUCUCGUGAAACGGUGACCCCAGGGGUCCUUAUAUAGAAGACAAAUUAGGGUAUUUUAGGAAUUUGGAAGAAAGAUAUUUUUGAAUUUUGAAAAAUCCAGAACCUUCCCCUCACAGCCCCUUUUGUUGCUCAGAACGUACCAUCCUCUUUGAUUUUCUCAGAAAAUGGCAAACGGUGGACCAAUUAAAUGGAGCCAAAUAAAUUUUUCCCCAAAAUCAAUAGAAAUUAUCCAAAUACGUACUAGAUUCGUACCAUUAUCCCGAAAUUCGCAGAAUUGAAACGUUGGGGGUGACACCUCAUCGAUCUUCUAGAAGAUUAGGUAUGAAAUCGCGUGUUUGUCACAUGACUCAUACGAUCGAAAGAAAAAAGGGAUGAAUUUAGAGGGAAAAAAGAAAGCUGGGGUCGGUUCUCGGGUUUGACGCGUAUUCAGGUCGAAACUGUUGAGUUUGUCAAUGAUUUGUCACUAUUUGUGAAGAGAAAUGCUGAAGGGUAAUCGGGUCGGCAUUGUUCGCAGUUGGGUCGCCGAUAUCGGAGUGGGUUUGAGAUUGGUUCUGAUUUUUGCGUUGAAGUUGACGGAUUUGGAGCUAUUUGUUGUUGGAUUGUGAAGUCGACGCGAUUUGGGGUUGCUAUGUUUGUUGGUUGUGUUGUCGCCUGUUUGUGUUGAAGAGGAAAAGAAAAAAUGUGCCGGGUAAGAUCAGCUAUUGGGCCGGGUCAAGAUCUGUUGGGCCUAGUGGGUGCAGACAAAUUUGGGCUUAGGUGAAAGUGUUGUUGCAUUGGGUUGCUGAUGGGGUUCAAAAAUUUAGUCUCUAAUUGGGGUUAUUUAAUAAUCCCAAUUAAAUCUAAUUGGAGUUAUUAAAUAACCCUAAUUAAAUUUAAUUAGAUUAAAGUAAUCCCAACUAGGAAAUGAUAAUUUUGGGAAUUGAGAUCGAAUUACAAUUAAGGCGACUCAUUUAAACCCUAACCAAAUUGAAUAUCCAUUGGUCCAUUGCAUCACAAUUUAGGCCAAUUUAAUUUCAAUUGAGGUCAUAAUUAAUUAGUUCGCUAAAUUGAAUCACAAUCCGACUCGAAUUAAGUAACAGAUUAAUUUUGAGUUUCUUGAUUUGAUGAAAAUCAAACAACUAUUCCUCCAAAUAAAAUAUUUUGAGAACAAAAUAUAUUUAAAAUCAAGACUUUAUCUAUUUGGAUUAAUUUUCAAUUUUAAUCAAUAAAAGUCUAAUUUUAAUAGAAAAUAUUCAUUUAAAUAACAAAUUUUACACACUCGUAUAUAAAAAUACAAAAAUGUAUAAUUGUUAAUUAAAUGAUAAAAUUAACUCAAAUAAAUGCUUAGACUCGCUUCCGGGCUUGACUCAAUGGAUGGGCCUGAUUGGCCCAUUAGGGAAUACAAAGAAUCCGUUUGGACUCCAACGAAUUCUCAUGCAAAGUAAGAAAAAUAAAGGACAUUAACACAUAUGGAUUAGGGAGGGCAAAAAUUAGGUGUCAACAACACUUAUCACUAAAGUUAAGGUUCUACUCCGAUGGCAAGGAUAGAACAGCUCUCCCCAACAUGGACAACACGUUGGACUCCAUGUAAGCUCACAUGGUGUAUGUCGGUUAUAAGAAACUCCCAAGUACAUAAUAGUCCAAGUUUCAUGAGUUACCGAGUCACUCUAAGUCAUGAGUCAAAGAGUUUGAGUUGAGUCCAACGGUUUGUGAGAUUUAUGAAGCAUGUGUUAUUAUUGAUGAUUUAUGGAAAAUAUGUUUCAGGUAACUCAAGCAAGGAGAGUCAUUAUUAACAAAACACUUCAAAGAAAAUAUGAGGGAAUCUUAGCAAUUUUUAUCAAGUGGGAUUUUGGGAGAGUUUUAAAUUCAGGAAAAACAAACCAGUAAGACAUGGGACGACACACAUAAAUUCACCAACUACAAGAUUUGCAAUUACGACAAGAAAGCAUCGCAUCUCAACAACAUCAGGAAGGGAAACAACAGAAAAUUAAAUACCACUGAGGUUGAUAGAAUUGCCAGAAGGCUAAAAAAAAGUUGUAUUUACUUACAACGAUGGCAUAAUGAUAUCAUAAAAUAACUCCCAGGAAACAAAACACAACUCGCCCAACAAUCAUUAAAAAAGAGAAAAGGAGGGAGUUACAACUAAUAGGAAGUGACACGACUAUUUUGAAUAAAACCAUUUAACAAUUUUGAACAAGUCCUUCCCUCCUCUUUGUCAAAUAGCGUAAAAGAAAAAGAUAAAAUAUUGGAGAUCCUUAGUAUUGGUUUUAUGCGUACUUACAGGCCUCUUUCGAUAUCCUGAAUCAAGGAGACCAUGCGAGUUGCAGCUAAAUCAUACAAACAAACCAUAAGACAGAAGACUCAAAGAUAACACGAAUUCUGAAAGUUCUCAGUCUUAAUCCCCAAAAAAGAAAAACUUCUGAAGGUCACGACAGUGAUAAGACAACCUCCAAAAUUUCUACUAUUCGAAACAAGCAGCUUAAAACCCAAAUAUGAGCAUCCAGGCACAGGAAACCUGGUUCUUCGAUCCUUAACAGUUUCCAAAGAUGAAGCCAAUCACUAGUGUUCUUGUGAAACGUGGUCUUGCAAAACUCAUAAGGGUUUUAGACCGUGAACCAAUACCUACUCAGAAGGUGAUACAAAUCGGGCUCAGAAGAAAAAAAAAGCUAGAAACUUUAUUGAGUUUUGAUAUCAAAACGUAUCAAAAGAGAGCAAAUUUGUUCACAUGUUUGACAACCAUUACACUUCGAAAGCUUCAACAUGAAAGAGAACCAACUAUAGACUAAAAACACAAAGCGAUAGGGCUUAACAUUUCUAUCCUCUUUUCGACGGUCUCAACCGAAUGACCGUCGAGAGAUAGUCCUACUAGAAAUGCAGUGAUGACGACGAACAAGAUAACAUCGAAGAACAACUACGAUUAAGACCCCAUCAAGCUGGCAACCAAUAGACAAAAAUCAAAACAUAUACCUUAAUCAUGAAAACCGUGACCCAAACUACAACAGCAACCAUGAAACAAUGAUCUGAAUUACCAAUAAUACACAAGAUGAGGACCUAAAUAGGGAAUUACUCGAUACCAACUACAAAAUCGAAACAGCGACAACUGAAAACAAACAUUAGCAGAUUAUAAUACGAAAUAACCCUAUCUUAACAACACAAGUGAACAUCUUUCUUCACUAAAGAAAAACCUAUGGCCUUUAAGGCCUCUACAGCAAGCAAAUCAGCACACCAUAUCAUUAAAGGAAACCUACAACUUCAGAAAAUUGAGAUGAAGCAGAAAUUGUCGAAAGCUUAAACGAGAUGGGAUGUUACUUUUUAGGGAGUAGCAAACGGAAUAACGAGCUAACGUCGAGAUGUGCCACCAUCGAAAACCCGCGUUAUCAACUCAGAACCUUUGAUCAAUCGACUAAAUGGCAUAGAGAAGAACAAAAGAGAAAAAUUUCACUAAAAGAAGUUGUCUUACUCUCAGAAUUUUUCUUACUUCUAUCUUUUCCUCGCCUAGCUUUCUCAGAGAAUUUUUGAACACUCAAAGUUUCGACCCCUAAAAUAAUGACCCAAAGGAUCCUUAUAUAGAAGAUAGAAUUGAGGUAUUUUAGGAAUUCGAAAAAAGGAAUUUUGAAUUUUGAAAUCAAGAUAACGUUUUCCCCCAACAACUCAUGUGGAUUUUGGAAAUUUUAUCGGAUAAAUCCGAAAGGUGGACCAAUCAGAAUUUGGGGAAAAUAUAAUAUUACCUCAAACCAGUGGAAAUUAGCCGCAUACGUACGAAAUCAUACCAAUAAUCCCUAAAUUCGCGGAGUUGGACGUUGGAAUGAGCCAACUCAUUAUAUUCUGGAAGAUUUUCGAAUCUUUCCCGUACGAGUCCGCGUUGGAAAGCACGUGUUGAAGAGGGAGAUGGUCGGGUCGAUGCGGAUGAUGUCGGGUCGUUGAUGGGUCGGUUUGAAUGGCGAGUUGGAGCUAGGUUGAGAGUUACUGAUGUUAAAGUUGUGUGUUGAUGUUCUUUUGUCGUUGAUGAAGAAAGG